UACGGAGGGUGCAAGCGUUAAUCGGAAUUACUGGGCGUAAAGCGCACGUAGGUGGUUUGCUAAGUCAGCUGUGAAAUCCCCGGGCUCAACCUGGGCACUGCAGUUGAAACUGGCAAGCUAGAGUAGGGGUAGAGGGGGUGUGGAAUUCCAGGUGUAGCGGUGAAAUGCGUAGAUAUCUGGAGGAACACCGAUGGCGAAGGCAGUUCUCUGGGCCAG
rnacentral:rRNA from 1 species